CGACCUCAGAGCAGGCGAGACUACCCGCUGAAUUUAAGCAUAUUACUAAGCGGAGGAAAAGAAACUAACAAGGAUUCCCCCAGUAGCGGCGAGCGAACAGGGAAGAGUCCAGCACCGAACCCCGCAGGCUGCCGCCUGUCGUGGCAUGUGGUGUUUGGGAGGGUCCACUACCCCGACGCCUCGCGCCGAGCCCAAGUCCAACUUGAAUGAGGCCACGGCCCGUAGAGGGUGCCAGGCCCGUAGCGGCCGGUGCGAGCGUCGGCGGGACCUCUCCUUCGAGUCGGGUUGCUUGAGAGUGCAGCUCCAAGUGGGUGGUAAACUCCAUCUGAGACUAAAUAUGACCACGAGACCGAUAGCGAACAAGUACCGUGAGGGAAAGUUGAAAAGAACUUUGAAGAGAGAGUUCAAAAGUACGUGAAACCGUUCUGGGGUAAACGUGAGAAGUCCGAAAGGUCGAACGGGUGAGAUUCACGCCCAUCCGGCCACUGGCCUCCGCCCUCGGCAGAUGGGGCCGGCCGCCCGCGCGGAGCAAUCUGCGGCGGGGUCGUGUCCGGUUGCCUUUCCACUCGCCGCGGGGUGGGGCCGUUCCGGUGUGCGGUGGGCCGCACUUCUCCCCUAGUAGGACGUCGCGACCCGCUGGGUGCCGGCCUACGGCCCGGGUGCGCAGCCUGUCCUUCCGCGGGCCUCGGUUCGCGUCUGUUGGGCAGAGCCCCGGUGUCCUGGCUGGCUGCCCGGCGGUAUAUCUGGAGGAGUCGAUUCGCCCCUUUGGGCGCUCGGGCUCCCGGCAAGCGCGCGCGGUUCUUCCCGGAUGACGGACCUACCUGGCCCGGCCCCGGACCCGCGCCGCUGUUGGCUCGGGAUGCUCUCGGGCGGAAUAAUCGCUCCCGUCAGCGGCGCUUCAGCUUUGGACAAUUUCACGACCCGUCUUGAAACACGGACCAAGGAGUCUAACAUGUGCGCGAGUCAUUGGGCUGUACGAAACCUAAAGGCGUAAUGAAAGUGAAGGUCUCGCCUUGCGCGGGCCGAGGGAGGAUGGGGCUUCCCCGCCCUUCACGGGGCGGCGGCCUCCGCACUCCCGGGGCGUCUCGUCCUCAUUGCGAGGUGAGGCGCACCUAGAGCGUACACGUUGGGACCCGAAAGAUGGUGAACUAUGCCUGGCCAGGACGAAGUCAGGGGAAACCCUGAUGGAGGUCCGUAGCGAUUCUGACGUGCAAAUCGAUCGUCGGAGCUGGGUAUAGGGGCGAAAGACUAAUCGAACCAUCUAGUAGCUGGUUCCCUCCGAAGUUUCCCUCAGGAUAGCUGGUGCUCGUACGAGUCUCAUCCGGUAAAGCGAAUGAUUAGAGGCCUUGGGGCCGAAACGACCUCAACCUAUUCUCAAACUUUAAAUGGGUGAGAUCUCCGGCUUGCUUGAUAUGCUGAAGCCGCGAGCAAACGACUCGGAUCGGAGUGCCAAGUGGGCCACUUUUGGUAAGCAGAACUGGCGCUGUGGGAUGAACCAAACGCCGAGUUAAGGCGCCCGAAUCGACGCUCAUGGGAAACCAUGAAAGGCGUUGGUUGCUUAAGACAGCAGGACGGUGGCCAUGGAAGUCGGAAUCCGCUAAGGAGUGUGUAACAACUCACCUGCCGAAGCAACUAGCCCUGAAAAUGGAUGGCGCUGAAGCGUCGUGCCUAUACUCGGCCGUCAGUCUGGCAGUCAUGGCCGGUCCUUGCGGCCGGCCGCGAAGCCCUGACGAGUAGGAGGGUCGCGGCGGUGGGCGCAGAAGGGUCUGGGCGUGAGCCUGCCUGGAGCCGCCGUCGGUGCAGAUCUUGGUGGUAGUAGCAAAUACUCCAGCGAGGCCCUGGAGGGCUGACGCGGAGAAGGGUUUCGUGUGAACAGCCGUUGCACACGAGUCAGUCGAUCCUAAGCCCUAGGAGAAAUCCGAUGUUGAUGGGGGCCGUCAUAGCAUGAUGCGCUUUGUGCUGGCCCCCGUUGGGCGAAAGGGAAUCCGGUUCCUAUUCCGGAACCCGGCAGCGGAACCGAUACAAGUCGGGCCCCUCUUUUAGAGAUGCUCGUCGGGGUAACCCAAAAGGACCCGGAGACGCCGUCGGGAGAUCGGGGAAGAGUUUUCUUUUCUGCAUGAGCGUUCGAGUUCCCUGGAAUCCUCUAGCAGGGAGAUAGGGUUUGGAACGCGAAGAGCACCGCAGUUGCGGCGGUGUCCCGAUCUUCCCCUCGGACCUUGAAAAUCCGGGAGAGGGCCACGUGGAGGUGUCGCGCCGGUUCGUACCCAUAUCCGCAGCAGGUCUCCAAGGUGAAGAGCCUCUAGUCGAUAGAAUAAUGUAGGUAAGGGAAGUCGGCAAAUUGGAUCCGUAACUUCGGGAUAAGGAUUGGCUCUGAGGAUCGGGGCGUGUCGGGCUUGGUCGGGAAGUGGGUCAGCGCUAACGUGCCGGGCCUGGGCGAGGUGAGUGCCGUAGGGGUGCCGGUAAGUGCGGGCGUUUAGCGCGGGCGUGGUCUGCUCUCGCCGUUGGUCGGCCUCGUGCUGGUCGGCGGUGCAGGAUGCGCGCGCCUGCGCGGCGUUCGCGCCCCGGUGCUUCAACCUGCGUGCAGGAUCCGAGCUCGGUCCCGUGCCUUGGCCUCCCACGGAUCUUCCUUGCUGCGAGGCCGCGUCCGCCUUAGCGUGCUCCUCCGGGGGCGCGCGGGUGCGCGGAUUCUCUUCGGCCGCCAUUCAACGAUCAACUCAGAACUGGCACGGACUGGGGGAAUCCGACUGUCUAAUUAAAACAAAGCAUUGCGAUGGCCCUAGCGGGUGUUGACGCAAUGUGAUUUCUGCCCAGUGCUCUGAAUGUCAACGUGAAGAAAUUCAAGCAAGCGCGGGUAAACGGCGGGAGUAACUAUGACUCUCUUAACUAUGACUCCAGCGGAGCUGCGGCGCCUGCCGCAUGAAGUCCUGGUGAAACUCUUGAACCUCUUCCUCCUGGCCCGCGCCCUCCCCGAGCGUCUGCUUCGCGCCCGGACGUCACUUCUCCCCAAAACGGCUGCACCAACAUCCCCCGCUGACUUUCGCCCCAUUACGGUCUGCUCGGUGUUGGCGCGGACCUUUCACAAGGUUCUCGCGUCACGCCUGAUGCGUGCAUGUGCUGUGGACGAACGUCAGCGGGCAUUCAUCCCCCGGGAUGGGAUGUUGGAAAACACCUUCAUCUUGGACACUGCUCUCACCGACGCAGUCCGCUCCUGUCGCUCUGUUUUUGUGGCAUCGAUCGACGUCUCUAAAGCGUUCGAUUCGGUGGACCAUGCUGCCCUCCGCCCCGUGCUGAGGGCUCAUGGCCUGCCGGAUUGCUUUAUUGAGUACGUCGAAAGGUGUUACGAGGGUAGCACGACAGUGAUAGCGGGCGGCGCCGACGUGGGCGUGCCCCUGCAGCCGGCUAGGGGUGUGCGUCAGGGUGACCCCCUCUCCCCCCUCCUUUUCAAUUUUGCGGUGGACUAUGUUUUGAGUCAACUUCCCUCCCACAUCGGAGCUCGGAUCCUUGGUCGCAGAGUCAACGCUGCGGCCUUCGCAGAUGACGUCCUGCUUUUUGCAUCGACCGCGAGGGGAUUGCAGUCCCUCAUCGACGCAGCCGUCGCAGCCCUCGCCCAUCUGGGGCUGCAGAUCAACGCCCGGAAGUGUUUCACCCUCGCCUUAGUCGCGUCUGGGCGCGACAAGAAGGUGAAGGUCGACGCCGACGUUACCUUCAAAGCGGGCAACGCCACCGUGCCCGCCCUACGUGUGGGUGAAACCUUCCGGUACCUGGGACUGCAAUUCUCCACCGCGGGUCGCUGCGUUUUCAACCCACGACGCCACCUGGUGGAGCAGCUGGACGUCAUCUCCCGAGCUCCGCUCAAGCCGCAACAGCGCCUCCACGCCCUCACCACCGUACUUCUGCCUGGCCUGUACCAUGGGCUGGCCCUCAGCCGCACCCGAGUGGGUGCGUUGAAAGCGGCAGAUGUGACCCUUGGCAGUGGUUUCGCUAGAUAGUAGAUAGGGACAGCGGGAAUCUCGUUAAUCCAUUCAUGCGCGUCACUAAUUAGAUGACGAGGCAUUUGGCUAUUCAUUAGCCGUCUUUAUUCAUUGCUGAAUAACACAUAUAUAUGCAUGUACAGAUAGGGUGUGGCAGGUGUUUCACGCCAUGUCCGCCACCGAGGUGGGGACUUACAGGGCGAUGCCACAAGAAAAGGUUAAAACUACAAUACAUAUACAUAUAUAUAUGCUGGAAAAAAAACAGAAACAAAAACAACACAAGUUACAUACACAAAGAAGAAAGAACAAAGACGGGAUAUUCCUCCUGUGGAUAGGGUCCCGUCUCCUGGCGCUGAAGAGGAUUGGGCCAGCCGCCGACGGUGCAGGCCGGGACGAGGUGCAGCGUGAGAUUGAGGCGCUGGAGCGGCAUCUUAUGUGGGAGGGCCACCUCCUCAAAUCGUCGACGCAGGUUGGAGAGAUGUGGGCCGCGCGCCUGCACGUUGCCUUUGACGGUGCGGCGCUGUCAUCUUCCGCCGCCGUCAAGGGGCAACACCAGUGGGUCGCUGACACCAGUCGCCUGCUAUCUGGGCGUAACUUCAUCGACGCUCUCCGCGCCCGCAUCAACGCCUUCCCCACGAAGGCACGGCGCAGUCGCGGGCGGGAGGCGGACACCAGAUGCCGCGCGGGCUGCCAGGCCGUAGAGACCGCCAACCACGUGUUACAGGCUUGCUUCAGGACGCACGGGUCCCGGGUUAAGCGGCAUGACGCGAUCGUGCGCUAUGUCGCCCGUGGACUCGCGCAGAGGGGCUUCAACGUCUCUGUGGAGCCCCACCUCCGCACACCUGAGGGAAUCCGCAAGCCUGACGUGGUGGCGGUUAAAGACGGCAUCGCCCGCGUCAUCGACGCCCAGGUAGUCGGAGACCAUCUCCGGCUCGACUGGUGUCACUCCGAGAAAGCGGCCUACUACAACACGCCGUCCAUCAGGCGUGCCAUCUCCAACCUGCACCGUGACGUUGAGGAGGUUACAGU